rnacentral:rRNA from 1 species
CGUCUAUAUACGUAUAGCAUAUCAAUAAGCGGAGGAAAAGAAACUAACAAGGAUUCCCUCAGUAACGGCGAGUGAAGCGGGAAGAGCUCAAAUUUGAAAUCUUCAAGGUUUACCUUGACGAAUUGUAGUUUAAAGAAGUGUUUUCUAUUAGAGUUUGAGUAGCAAAGUUCUUUGGAAAGGGACAUCAUAGAGGGUGAGAAUCCCGUAUUUGAUCAUUAUCUCCAGCUUUGUGAUACACUUUCAAAGAGUCGGAUUGUUUAGGGAAUGCAGUCCAAAAUGGGUGGUAAAUUUCAUCUAAAGCUAAAUAUUGGCGAGAGACCGAUAGCGAACAAGUACCGUGAGGGAAAGAUGAAAAGAACUUUGAAAAGAGAGUUAAACAGUACGUGAAAUUGUCAAAAGGGAAGCGUUUGACACCAGUGUUGUUUUUCCGAAAAUCAAUUACGAAUGGUUUGAUUUUGAGUAGUUAUGACCUUCAUCAGCUUUCUGCACUUUCUUUACGAAGUCUUUCUUAAUGCACUUUUCGGUUAACAAGUCAACAUCAAUUUCUUUUGUUGUAAAAGAGUCAUUCGGAAGGUGGCUUUCUUUUCGGAGAAAGUGUUUAUAGCCUUGUGCCUCUGCAAUCGGAGAGAUUGAGGUCUGCAGCGUAGAUCCUUCGGGGUUAGAUACGUUUGUGCUAAGUUAUAGCUUUUCAUAGACAACUUGUUGACUAUGUUUAGUCUUGUAGCUUACUCGCUGACGCUAUUUUACCUACGCUUAGGAUGUUGACUGAUAUGUAGUCGUA